rnacentral:tRNA from 1 species
CGUCAGCAGAGGUGUUGGGCGCCCGCGUUGUAGAAGAACGCGGCGUCCUUCGGUUCGAUGCCGUCGGCGGCGGC